GUUUUCAGGAUAUAUUAAAGAAAGCUCAGCUUCUUUUCCCUCGUGCUAUGGUUGUUGAUUCAAUACAAACUCUUGAUCCUAUUAACACUUGGUCAGAGCAAAAGGUUAAGUUGAAUGAUGCUGAGCACAAGUUAAAAGAUCAAGGACGUCAACUAAAGGUUCAACAGAAAAGAAUUGGUUCUACUAAAAAGACAAUUCAUGCAUGUAUAAAAAGUUGAAUCUCCCACUUCCUUCAACCUUGUCUGAUCCUGCAGAAGAUGAGCUUGGGACAGGCUCUAGUGAUGAUGAGGAUGAUAACAUAAGUGAUUGAUGUCAGGAGUAUAUGUUUUUUCUGAUUUAGAUUAAGAAAU